GAGGCUGGAAGGCGGCAGCGGGGGCGCCCCUUGUGCCGCUUGCUUCUCGGAGCGCUGUGCGCGGCUUCUUCGCCCGAGUCGCUCCGGCCGUCCUUCCGCCCUGACUCAGAGGCCGCUAAAGGAGGAGGUCCGAGCCGGGAGCCCCCCACCCCACCGUCCAUGCCUCUCCAAGCCGGCUAUGUCUCAACAAAGAGGUGAUGGGAGGAUCCGGCAUGGCAUGGCCAGAGAUAAAUGUCGCUUAUAUUUUUAAUUCUGCUCAACCCGAAGUUCAAAGCAUAAAUGCUUGGAAAUCAAACCUGCUGUAGUAAGGCUGGUGACUAUCCAACUUGGCAAGCAGGUGACUUACAUAAAGGAACACUCUCCACACAAAGCAAAAUUGAAACACCGAAAGUCAAUUUCAAAAUGAAGCAAAAAUCAAGAACACCGCCGGCAUUAGCUCAAACUGACAAGAGGGAAGUUCAAAAGAAAAAGUAGUUGGAGCUUCAAACCAACUUCCAGCAAAAGUAGAGGUCAAUCAUUAGUAACUGAGUUUAAACAUGCUUGAGACAAACAC